ACCAAUUCUGGAGGAUAAAAAACAGUUCCUCACGGUGUAAUGGCUUGGACGCCAAAUAAAUAAAUGUGGCCAUUCUGAUAAUUGGUUUUUCAAUGCCAUAUUAUCCGGGAAACUCCUCAUACAUUU